rnacentral:rRNA from 1 species
AGCGAACGCUGGCGGCAGGCUUAACACAUGCAAGUCGAACGGGCGUAGCAAUACGUCAGUGGCAGACGGGUGAGUAACGCGUGGGAACGUACCUUUUGGUUCGGAACAACCCAGGGAAACUUGGGCUAAUACCGGAUAAGCCCUUACGGGGAAAGAUUUAUCGCCGAAAGAUCGGCCCGCGUCUGAUUAGCUAGUUGGUGAGGUAACGGCUCACCAAGGCGACGAUCAGUAGCUGGUCUGAGAGGANGAUCAGCCACAUUGGGACUGAGACACGGCCCAAACUCCUACGGGAGGCAGCAGUGGGGAAUAUUGGACAAUGGGCGCAAGCCUGAUCCAGCCAUGCCGCGUGAGUGAUGAAGGCCCUAGGGUUGUAAAGCUCUUUUGUGCGGGAAGAUAAUGACGGUACCGCAAGAAUAAGCCCCGGCUAACUUCGUGCCAGCAGCCGCAGUAA